rnacentral:rRNA from 1 species
AUUGAACGCUGGCGGCAGGCCUAACACAUGCAAGUCGAACGAGUGGCGUACGGGUGAGUAAUGUCUGGGCAACUGCCUGAUGGAGGGGGAUAACUACUGGAAACGGUAGCUACUACCGCAUACCAUCGGAUGUGCCCAGAUGGGAUUAGCUAGUAGGUGGGGUAACGGCUCACCUAGGCGACGAUCCCUAGCUGGUCUGAGAGGAUGACCGGCCACACUGGGACUGAGACACGGUCCAGACUCCUACGGGAGGCAGCAGUGGGGAAUAUUGCACAAUGGGCGAAAGCCUGAUGGAGCCAUGCCGCGUGUAUGAAGAAGGUUUUCGGGUCGUAAAGCUCUUUUGGCGGGGAGGCGGUACCCGCAGAAGAAGCAACGGCUAACUCCGUGCCAGCAGCCGCGGUAAUAC